ACAAAAAUAUUUUUACUCAAAAUCAUUAUUUACCAUAACUACCUCUAUUUAUUUUCACCUAACCCUCCCAUUAUUUACCAUAAAUAUAUGUCAGUUUUUAUAAUUUAAUAGUCAAAAAUACUUUUUUUGAAAGAUUUGUCAAACACAAACUACUUCUUAAAUACUGAUAAAAGUGCUUAUCAAAUGAUUUUGUCAAACACAAACUGCUUUUCUCUCGCAGCACUUCUUUUAAAACCCCAUGUGAAAAGAAGUAACUUCAAAAUAAAUUGAUUUUUACAGCUUGGCCAAACAGGCCCUAAGUC
rnacentral:lncRNA from 1 species